AUGUCCACCGGAGUACGGGGUAGGGGAAGAGCAUCUGGAAACCGGAAUGGGAAGCGGCAGCAGCAGGGCUCGGGAGAUGAGCUUGACGCUUUCUCGAAGGAGCUUCAACGACGGCCAGAAGUAAGGACCAUCAACAAGUAUGGGCUCCUUGCAGCGUACGUCCAAAUUGCCCUGAAUUCCAUCGGGGCGCUGAUGCUUUUGUGGGCCACCGUGGUCCUCCUCGGCGGAUUCGUCUCCGAUCUGACGAAGAAGGAUUUUUGGUACCUGACCAUCCUCUCGUUUCUGCAGGCCGCCGGGGUAUUCGACGCGUGGAGUGGUGCUGGCUCUGAUUCAUUCGUGGAUUGGUUUGAUUCUCUUGCACUAGACACUGGAUCUUGGGGGGGAAAUCAUCGUCAUGAACAUAAACGGUUCCUGCCUAAGAGACAACAAAAGAUAAGACAAAUACUAGGUAUCAUUCUGAUCGUGCUAUCUACCCCAGUGGUGAUAUUCUCCGCGUAUGGACCACUUGUGCGCUUUCUGCUAUCGUCACUUGCUGUAGAGAAGAAAAACCAUGACUAA
rnacentral:rRNA from 1 species